rnacentral:rRNA from 1 species
AUGAACGCUGGCGGCGUGCCUAAUACAUGCAAGUCGAGCGAACAGAUGAGGAGCUUGCUCCUCUGACGUUAGCGGCGGACGGGUGAGUAACACGUGGAUAACCUACCUAUAAGACUGGGAUAACUUCGGGAAACCGGAUCUAAUACCGGAUAAUAUAUUGAACCGCAUGGUUCAAUAGUGAAAGACGGUUUUGCUGUCACUUAUAGCUGGAUCCGCGCCGCAUUAGCUAGUUGGUAAGGUAACGGCUUACCAAGGCAACGAUGCGUAGCCGACCUGAGAGGGUGAUCGGCCACACUGGAACUGAGACACGGUCCAGACUCCUACGGGAGGCAGCAGUAGGGAAUCUUCCGCAAUGGGCGAAAGCCUGACGGAGCAACGCCGCGUGAGUGAUGAAGGUCUUCGGAUCGUAAAACUCUGUUAUUAGGGAAGAACAAAUGUGUAAGUAACUAUGCACGUCUUGACGGUACCUAAUCAGAAAGCCACGGCUAACUACGUG